AUGAACAUUCAAAAAGAAUAUCUGGCUGAGGUUGGCUUGAGGAAAAAAGUUGAAGCUGAUUUAGAUAGACUGAUACAUAGAAUUCAAGAGAUGGAGGAAGACAAUAACAAACAAGAAACCUGGAGGGCUGUGGAAGAAAAGAAAUACACUUCAUGGGAAGAGGAGAAGAGAGCUAUGAUGGAUAUGAUCAAGAAGCAGCAAGUGAUGAUAGACAAAUUCAUAGAAAAAGUAGACCAGUGGGAUGAAAAAGAGAUCUCUGGAGAUGAUAUGGGAGAGAAAAAUGACUCUGAUAAAGAUAAUAUUCAAGAUCCUCUGAUAGAAGACAAUUACACUGAACCAGUGGAUUAUAAUGCUAGCCAGGAUUCUGUGGAAUCUCUGGGAUCAAAACUGGGGAUCUCUGAUAAAGAGAAGAAAGAAAAAGACAAAGAAGGACCAACCAGAAGAAGUGACAGAAAUCUAGACAAAAAGGACUCCAAGAUUGAAGAUCUGGCUAAGGAGAGAGCUGCUGACAAGGAUAACUAUGAAAAAUGA
rnacentral:rRNA from 1 species